GUGCCAGCCGCCGCGGUAAUACGUAGGGGGCUAGCGUUGUCCGGAAUCAUUGGGCGUAAAGCGCGCGUAGGCGGCCCGGCAAGUCCGCUGUAAAAGUCAACAGCUCAACUGUUGAAUGCCGGUGGAAACUGCCGGGCUAGAGUCCGGAAGAGGCGAGUGGAAUUCCUGGUGUAGCGGUGGAAUGCGCAGAUAUCAGGAGGAACACCGAUAGCGAAGGCAGCUCGCUGGGACGGUACUGACGCUGAGGCGCGAAAGCGUGGGGAGCGAACAGGAUUAGAAACCCGCGUAGUCC
rnacentral:rRNA from 1 species